CGAUGGUGAUGGUGAUGGUGUGGAGGGUGACCAUGUGGCCCAGGAGGACUACCAAGUGGAGGUGGCUGAGAACCAGGUGGAUGAACAUGCGGCGGAUGAGCUGGUCCGGGAGGAUGUGGACCCGGUGGUCCAGGAUGGUGAGAACCCGAGCCUGCCGGUGGAGGUGGAUUGCGCAUAUUUCUCGCAAUAGUAGCUUUCUUCGUUUUUCAGCGAUGAGACGAACCACACUUGUUUUUACCUUAUGGAAAUAUAAUUGGUGAACCAAUGAAUCAAAA